CAAGGAAACAAAAGGAGAAAGAGACCCAAUGGGUGGUAUAUGUGCAAACAGGCAGGCAAGCAUAACAUUUACCACCUAUAUAUUAUCUGCAGCAUACAAUUUACCACCUAUACACCACCUAUAUAUUAUCUGCCUGUUUGCACAUAUACCACCCAUUGGGUCUCUUUCUUCUUUUGUUUCCUUGU